rnacentral:rRNA from 1 species
UGGGUAAUCUUGUGAAACUUCAUCGUGAUGGGGAUAGAGCAUUGCAAUUAUUGCUCUUAAACGAGGAAUCCCUAGUAAGCGUGAGUCAUCAGCUCAUGUUGAUUACGUCCCUGCCCUUUGUUCACACCGCCCGUCGCUACUACCGAUUGAAUGGCUUAGUGAGACUCUCGGAUCGGGAUUUCGGAACCGGCAACGGCCCCUUUUUCUGAGAAGUUUGUCAAACUUGGUCAUUUAGAGGAAGUAAAAGUCGUAACAAGGUUUCCGUAGGUGAACCUGCGGAAGGAUCAUU